rnacentral:misc_RNA from 1 species
UGUAGGAGCUGCCGCAGGCUGCGAUCUUUUGAUCUUCGGCAUCAGCCGGAAAAGAUCGCAGCCUGCGGCAGCUCCUACA